AGAUUGAAUUGAAAAGUGGCGUGCACUAUUAAUUAAUAGAUUGAUGAUUGGUAAAUAAAAGAGGCGUCGGUCUUCAUUCUCAAUUUUCAUUCAUCCGUCGGUCUUCUUCUCCAAUUUCUAGAUCCAGCUUCAUUCUCAAUUUUCAUUCCAUCCGUCGGUCUUCUUCUCCAAUUCCAAGUUUUCAACGUAAUUGUUGUCGAGAAUCAUCCAUCUUCAUCCAACUGUUCAUCAUUUGGUGUUGUCGAGAAUCAUCCAAUCGAAGUAUCAUUUGUCUGAUUUGGUGUUGCUGAACUGCCAAUAAUCACCUGGUUUGUUUUAAUUUUUGAUUUAUAUCUGUUCUUGUUUCAUAUUUGUUACUGUUGAUUUUUUAUACACCUAAUUUUGCUCCAGUUGUGAUUUAUUUGUUAUAGCUUCAUUGCCUAUUUAUUUCUUGGCUAUUUUAUAUCUUAAAAAUGAAAAGAUUUAUGGGAAUGUCUCCUGGUUCAUCUUCUAGAACACUACAAAAUGAGUCUGUUCCACUUUUUUCAGAAUCUGCAUCACAACCACAACAUGUAAACUUAGAGGGGGACCAAACCACUUUUGUUGAAACCCAAACUACUAUUGCAGUUAAAAAACCACCAGUUAGAUCUAAGACUAGUAAAGUGUGGAAUUAUUUUACCUUGAAUGAUGAAAAAGCAGCUUGUAAGCUCUGUAAGGUCAAAUUUGCUUUUAAAGUUAAUUAUGGCACUGGUACUUUAACUAGACAUUUGAAUAAUCAUCGCAAGAAUUGGGAAGAUAAUGACUUGUUAGAUGAUAGUAGACAACAAAAUUUAGAUAUUUCAUCUAGUGGUUCUGUUAUAAAUUGUGCAUAUAAACAAGAUGAAGUGAGAAUUGAACUUGCUAAACUUGUUAUAGGAGCUGAACUUCCUUUUAACUUUGUGGAAACUCAAUAUUUUGCAAAUUUUAUGAAAAAAACUCAACCUCGUUUUAAAAGUAUUUCACGAAACACUUGUUAGAAAGAUGGUUACAAAAUAUAUGAAUUUGAAAUUAUUGCUUUGAAAACAUUGUUUUCUAAAUUAAAUUCUAAAAUUUCUUUAACUACCGACUUAUGGCUUUGUAGAAAAGGUUUGCAUUAUUUAUGUGUCACAGCCCAUUGGAUAAAUGAAAAUUUCUUGUUGGAAAAAAGAAUAAUUGAUUUUUCAUUGCUUGAGUAUCCACAUGAUGGUAUAUCUAUAUAUCAAGCUGUUAUGUCUUGUUUGAAUUAUUGGGAAAUAAGUGAUAAAAUUAUGUCUAUUACAUUAGACAAUGCCGCAAAUAAUGGCAAAGCUAUGGAGUAUUUUAUUGAAUUUUUGAGGCCAAAUAUUGAUGCAAAAUUUUUUUACAUUCGUUGUGUUUGUCAUGUUCUACAUCUAUGUGUAUGUGAUGGAAUGCAAAGUAUUAGAUCUCACAUUGAUCUUAUACGAGAUUGUUUGUUAUUCAUUACAUCAUCUUCGGUUAGGUUGCAAAAGUAUAAGAGAAUGGUUAAUAGUGCGAAAAUGAAAUUUAAAAUUCCUUAUAUUGAUGUAAAAACGAGGUGGUUUUCAACUUGUAGAAUGUUAAUGGAAGCUAAACCUUAUUCUUCAAUAAUAAUACACUAUAUGAAAAAAGAAAAAAAUUCUAGCAUUAGUGCUAUUAUUGAGAAGAAUUGGGAGAUUGUUGACAUAUUAAUACCACUUUUACAAACGUUUAGUGAUAUGACUAAUGUUAUGUCCGGUAGUUGUUAUCCUACUUCCAAUAUUAUGUUGCGUGAAAUGGUUAACAUUGUUAAAAUUUUUGAUGAGCAUAGAAAUAUGGAAAAUGUGAAGACAUUAUUGGAAAGAUGGAGAUUAAAUGGAAAAAGUAUUAUCAAAAUGUUCCUUUUUGUGCUAUUUUUGGAACAAAAAAAUUAUCCUAUUUUAUCUAUGAUUGCACGUGAUCUACUAACAUGUCAAAUGUCUAGUGUAGCAUCCGAAAGUGCUUUUAGUGCAGGUGUAAGAACAGUGACAGAUAGAAGAACUCGAUUGACACCAAAAUCUAUCAAAUUUUGCAUGCUUUUGAAGAAUUGGAUGGAUGAAGAAUUUCGAUUGAACAAGUUGAAGAGGCUCGAAAGAUAUAGAUGUCAGAAAUGAAAGAAGAAGAUCAAGAAGAUGAAGAUGGCGAACCGAAUUUGGUAAUUAAUGCACAAGAAGAUCAAGAGUCGGAUAUCGAGAGAUUUUAUUUUCCAAUAACUGAUUAUUACUAUUCAAGUACUAAUGAUCCAAACUUUACUUUUGAUUGGCAAAAUUACCCGGAUUAACUCUUUGAACAUGUAAUAUUUUUUGUAAUUUUACAAUUGAAGUCUUACAUUUAAGAAAUUUUUUGUUUA